AUUGUCAUUAUAACAGAAGAAUCAACGACAACAAAAACAUAUCCACCCUCUCAACUUACUAUUCCUGAAUGAUUUUAUACUCAAGGCAUUUUUAAAACUUUGUCAAAGAAGUGAACAGCUUAAAUUCAUUAUCAAAUCCGUUCCAUAAUCUCACACCCACAACCCAAAUACACCUAGACUUCACAUUUGUCCUCUCUUUAAUCCAUUAAAUCAUACAAAC